CACAACUACAUACACACUGUUUAACCCCUGACCAGUGUGGAGAGUCCUGAAUGUUGUGAAUCUGAUGUAUCUACAUUGUUCUCACUGACUUUAUAGUGGUCAGAUGAUAGGAGAUCCUGAGGAAGUGGAUGAAGACCGGAUGAAACACUCACCCAAUUAAAACGUCGAAUUAUUUUCAAGACCAUCUCAGAAAAGACUCAUACCAAAACUAUGAACAGAACCAAAAGCCAUAAAUUGGGAAUGCUGGAUGGAAAAACCAUAUGGCUAAUGAAAUGAAACUCCUAGCGACAAGCAGAUGUAGUGAUUUGUUACAGUAAUUUUAGUAGCAUUCAGAUUCAUGAGCUUAAAGACCUGUGGCAUAUGGGGAAUGCUUAUAACCCACAUAUAACUAAGGCUUGUAGCUUUCCCAGGCUCUUUAUCAGCUGGAUUGGCCCAUUCUCUGUGUCAGGCCAAAUAGAAGGCAUGCAAUGAAGUUACAUAAACUCUUUGAAAAUA